CUGGUGGUCCAGUGGUUAAGACUCUGUACUUUCACUGCAGAGGCAUGGGUUCAAUCCCUGGUCCGG
rnacentral:tRNA from 1 species